GAAGGCAGGGCUACUUAGUGCCACGGACAACAAGCAUAAAGAGGCUGUGUUGUGUUUUUUGUGCAGCAUCAGUUCCCAAGUCAAGGUCCCGUAGCAGCCCCAGCGGCUAGAUCAAAGAUGUCUUGGCCCUCCUACACUUGAGCCUUCAGCAAGACAUCUGUCAAGAUAGAGCUAUGACGUCAUCAUUAGUGUCAAGUAGAAGGCAGACUAAUAAGCAGAUCUCCCCUCUUUGUCACCUUGGAAAGUGGGCCAGUCUCUACCUGAGAGUGUGAUGUGGUGCACAGAAGCUCUUAAUGAAUCAGCAUGUGCCUGGAUCCGCUUAGUGUCAACGUAUACACGUAUCAAUAUGUCGUCAAGAUGGCCGUACAAGCAUGGCCUGCAAAUGGCGACAGAUUCCUGAACGUCACAACGAGAAACAGCGACGUCCUGUUUAUAAAAUAUAAUCUGUCAUUAUGGUGCUGUGGCGUCUUUAUUUAGAGCAAAUACCCCAAUAUUCGUUACUGCUUACUUGACAGAGCCUAAGUCUGAAAUGUUUGCUUCCAGUCGCGUUGAUGGCAUUUGAAAAUAUAACUGCCUUUCUAGUUUAAAAAUACUUUGUAAAUAGACCAAUUAUAAUAAUUUAUAUGUUUCUCAAGAAGAACCUUGUUCCGUGGAUAUAAUGAAGUUGCAGUAAGUGUCACUUUACAUAGGGAUCUAAAUUGACUUAUGUAUAUAUUUUCCUUCCGUAGAACACGUCGUUAAAAAUAAAGUAUCAGGUAUUUAUUAUAUGAGAAUUUCCACAUUUAAAUUUUCUUCAAUAUAAUUGAUUUUAAUGGCCAUAUUACUUAAGAGCCCAGUACAUUUACGGAAGUAGCUCACCGAGCAGGAUA